rnacentral:tmRNA from 1 species
GGGGGCGUAAUGGUUUCGACGGGGAUUCUGAAGAUUUGUAAGCGGGUAGAGCUGAAGUAACUCUAUAAACUGCUUCGAAAAAAAUAAACGACAACUAUAACACUGAACUCGUAGCGGCUUAAGUUCCGCUACCGUCCACGCCGAGAGGGCCACGGCUCGGCGCAGGGCGUGAUGUAGUGGCGAACGUGAACCGCCAGUUAGCGUUUAUAACGGUCACGGAAAAAAACGCUGCCCUGUACCGGGUUUGUCCGUUCACCUGGCACGGGGGAGAAAAUUGAACGGACUACACCCGUAGAAAGCAAUUCGGAUGAGUUUUCGGACAGGGGUUCGAUUCCCCUCGCCUCCACCA